rnacentral:rRNA from 1 species
AUUGAACGCUGGCGGCAGGCUUAACACAUGCAAGUCGAGCGAGCGGCGGACGGGUGAGUAAUGUCUGGGAAACUGCCUGAUGGCGGGGGAUAACUCCUGGAACCGGUAGCUAAUACCGCAUACCAUCAGAUGUGCCCAGAUGGGAUUAGCUAGUUGGUGGGGUAAUGGCUCACCUAGGCGACGAUCCCUAGCUGGUCUGAGAGGAUGACCGGCCACACUGGAACUGAGACACGGUCCAGACUCCUACGGGAGGCAGCAGUGGGGAAUAUUGCGCAAUGGGCGCAAGCCUGAUGCAGCCAUGCCGCGUGAGUGAAGAAGGCCUUCGGGUUGUAAAGCACUGUCAGCGAGGAGGCGUUACUCGCAGAAGAAGCACCGGCUAACUCCGUGCCAGCAGCCGCGGUAAUUC